rnacentral:lncRNA from 10 species
GUGGCGUCUGCGUACAGCCUUCUGGACCCCAUGUAGCUGGGACCACAGGCAUGUUCGACCAUGCCCAACUAAUUUUUUUUUAUUUUGUAGAGAUGGGGACUCCCUGUGUUGCCUAAGCUAGUCUCGAACUGGGCUCAAGCAAUCCUCCUGCCUCGGCCUCCCAAAGUGCUGGAAUUACAGGUGUGAGCCACUGCACCUGGCCUGUUUUGUGGGUUUUUUUUUUUUUUUUGAGAUGGAAUCUUGCUCUGUCACCCAGGCUGGAGUGCAAUGGCAUGAUCCUGACUCACUGCAACCUUUGCCUCCCAGAUUCAAGCAAUUCUCCUGCCUCAGCCUCCCGAGUAGCUAGGAUUAGAGGCACCCACCAUCAUGCCUGGCUAAUGUUUUUAUUUUUGUAGAGACAGGGUUUCACCAUGUUGGACAGACUGGUCUUGAACUCCUGACCUCAAGUGAUCCACCUGCCUUGGCCUCCCAAAGUGCUGGGAUUACAGGCGUGAGCCACCGCACCUGGCCUGUUUUGUGAUUUUUUGGUAACAGUCAUCCCAAUUGGUGUGAAGUGAUACCUCAUUGUGGAAUUUUGGUUUGCAUUUCCCUAAUGAUUAGUGAUGUUGAAUAUCUUCUUAUGAGCUUUUGGCUAUUUGUAUUUCUUUUUUGAAGAAAUAUCUAUUCAAG